UACGUAGGGGGCAAGCGUUAUCCGGAUUUACUGGGUGUAAAGGGAGCGUAGACGGAUUUGCAAGUCUGAAGUGAAAGCCCGCAGCUCAACUGCGGAACUGCUUUGGAAACUGUUGGUCUGGAGUGCAGGAGAGGUAAGCGGAAUUCCUGGUGUAGCGGUGAAAUGCGUAGAUAUCAGGAGGAACACCGGCGGCGAAGGCGGCUUACUGGACUGUAACUGACGUUGAGGCUCGAAGGCGUGGGGAGCAAAC
rnacentral:rRNA from 1 species